AGCAGUUGCUAGUUUUUACCAGUUUCCAACCCACGUAGCGUUUAUAUUUGACUGUUUUUGUUCAAGCGGGAAAAGACAAGAUCAGAAACCAUAACUUACAUUAAUGUCAGGCACACAAUUUAUGUGACUGUUGAUACAAUCAAAUUUCACCCACUGCCCUGCCAAACGUCACCGUACUUGGAAAGUCCAGCUGCUAAUGGAAUUAGCAUUAGCUUGACCUGAAAGUUCCGAAAAAGAUAUGUUAGCAUUAGCGUUAGGUGAAGGUUUGGCUGAAGCUGCAACAUGUUGAUGUGGUGGGAGUUGUGCCAUUCAUUGUCAUCCUGUAACUAAUUAUCACCUAAUCUUACUACUGCAUAAAACUAUCACAUUGGAACUCCUCAUUUAGUUCCUGGCCGAUAGCCUCUGCAACCUGUACUCGCUAAAGGUCACCAAAGAGAUGGAGGAAGGAUCCACAGAUCCACUAAAUCACAGGGCCAACUGGAUCAGACUUCACUUUGACACAGCCAUCAUAAUUCCUCCACGGCACAGGAAUCAAUUAUAGCUGAGCACCAUUAUUUCCAGAACGGAGCUAAACAUUAAAGUUUAAAAAUUCGAAAUUAUUAAAAAGGCAUGCUCUCAGGGACCCAUACAGAAUAUUUACUGUUAACAAAUAACUUAAUAACUUCACUCUGAAUUAUUAAUUCAUGGCUCACGUUGGCUCUGCAAGACUUAUCUCAUGGUUAAUAUCUCUGCCUUUAUACAUUGUUAAAUAUGCAUCACUUCUUGACUGCUCUAUUUGAGCACUUGGCAAAUCUGUCAGAGCUUUGUGACUUUAUUAGAAAAUCUGAGCUGCAAUUUUGGCUGUUGACAUAGUGAUUUAAAUAUUCUAGUCUAAAACAAAUGCUUUGUUGAUAGAUAAAGAAAGGGAUGUGGUUUCUUCUGGCAUAGCUUGAUA